ACAGUGGUUACAGAUAAGAUACUUUGUCUCCCAUUCUGUCCGUAUUUUAUUCUCCUCCCUCUUCUAAUAGAACAUUAACCAAUAAAAAUGAAAUGUCUAAAAAGGUAAAAAAAAGCCAGCGUCCCACCGACUCAUCUGCCGUCCUCACCUCCUGCUCAGUAUUCAGCACAGGCAACAACUCAAUUAACCAGGAGCCCCCAGCCAUCACACCAGCAGGCUGCCUCAUAAUAUUUCCCAUAAUGUUUCAUCCAAUUUGGAGAGUUUGACGUUUACCCCCUGCAGGACUGCAGCGAGAGACAAUGACUGAAGGCUAGGGGCCACUGAGGUGGAGACGGUGUGUGCGAUGGUGAUGAGCACUGGAAAUCGGUGCCCCGGCCUGCAGGUGAACAUGUAUCAUAAAACCACUCCCUUCCUCUAACAACUCGUCCAAAACUUUUCAAGUGCAGGUUCAUAUUUUUUUCCAAAUGAUGCACAUAAACUUAACAGCCCACAAAGAAGCAGAAGGAGUGCGUAUAAGUGUAUGUACUGCAUGUGAAGGGCAGUUUGUAAAGUGCAGAGGAUGUUUAUAGCACAAUGGGUUAAGAUCACCAGCAGCUGGAGGAUCGUCCACUCUGAGGCGAGACUUUUGAGAAGCCAUUUUAAGGCCUCCUGUCAUUGGCGUGACCCUGCCGGUGCCUCUCUGCCUCCACAGCCCUCCUGCUUUAGCGUCAGCUCCCCCAUUGUCCUGGACGGAGGAGGACUCGGCCGCUCCUAAGUGAUGGCGCAAGAGUCACCUCGUUGGAACUGAUGCCCCCGAUCAGCGAUGGGCUGGAAAAGCAUAAAGAAAGAACGGGAAGGGACAGAAGAUCUCCAUCACUACCUCCACGCUGGUCCCUCUCCUGUCUGAGCGAAAGGGCAAGUCCCUGCAGCCGCGUGCCAGCCGAUCCUCAGCCUCGAUCCAGAGGAAUGCUAAUAGUUUGUAACCGGACCCGGAGCCUCUCCAGUGCUACCCAAACAGGGCCAACGGGCCCGAAACAGACACCGCGAAUGUUUCCAUUGCUCAUAUUGAGCUAUCAGUAUCUUUAUAGUUAGAAAUCCUCCAUAUUUUACCAGCCCCUCUCCAGUUGCCACCAUAACUCUUGCUUUGCCGGGUCUCAAGCAACAUAUCCGUCUUAUUUUGGAGCACAUAUCUACAUAGUGUCACAGUCUGAAAGAAGAUACAUGGAGGCGGCUGAAGUGAUGCCACUGGAGGAGGUUAUAGCACGGCUCCAACAUCAAUCAUGAUGUACAGCACUUUCCAUUUUUGACACACAUUUCAGCAACUUUGGGAACUUGCUGCUAUCAUCAGAUGAGUAACCUCUUUAGCACAAGUUAGUGAACUAGAUCAACAUGCAGGGUAGUUUUAAAUACUAAAACAAAAUAAUAUUUAUUGUUGGUCUUUGGCAAAGGUAUUUGUAUAGUUUCUAUCAAGGCUAAUAUUUUAAAUAUGCCUUCUUAUUAAAUAUUAUAUGAAAGCACUUUUGAUCUGCAAAUUUGAAGUAAAUACACGUCGAAUUUAAUGAUAUGAUACUGGAAGUGAAUGCAAGAGAAGAACACAAGUAAAAUAAAAAUGAAUAGAAAUUAAAGUAGAAAAUAGAAACGUAGCUUUUACAGUUUGGGUGAACCAGCCGUCGUCAACCUUGUGUCUUAUAUUUGGUUCGACGCCAUGUUUGUUUGGACACAACCACAAGUGCCACUUUGUGGGGAUUUGUCUUGUUUUUACUCUUCAGUGAACUCAACUUUAAUUAUUUAAACGAUUGACAGCGUCUUUAUGGAUCAUAGAUGCACAUGGAAAACAACGGUAAGAGUCUGACUUUUUGUUGUCUUUAAACAUCGGUUGUUUUUUAACUGUUUCUGUCCUGAAUGCUUAUGCUAACGUUCUGCUUUGCUAAACUCACCUGUUACUCAACAAAUGUACUAUCAACUAUUAAAUUUGAAUCGUCUGGGGAACAGAGAGAGUUGAGCUAAUUUACACAAACCUUCCCCGUAACCUAGUGAGCUAAUGAUUUGAUGUUAAACAAGCUAGUUAACCUGAAUCACACAUGUUUAAGGGGGUCAUUAUAAUCCGUACGGAGAUGUUUGAACAACAUAAUGAUGUUUUAAGUUAAUGAUGUUUCUUAUUGCAUGUUUUCUUGUCUUUUGAGCCACAGUCUGCAUUUUUGCAGUAAAUGUUUUUUUUUUUUUUUUUUUUUUUUU